rnacentral:rRNA from 1 species
UAGGGAAUCUUCGGCAAUGGACGAAAGUCUGACCGAGCAACGCCGCGUGAGUGAAGAAGGUUUUCGGAUCGUAAAACUCUGUUGUUAGAGAAGAACAAGGACGUUAGUAACUGAACGUCCCCUGACGGUAUCUAACCAGAAAGCCACGGCUAACUACGUGCCAGCAGCCGCGGUAAUACGUAGGUGGCAAGCGUUGUCCGGAUUUAUUGGGCGUAAAGCGAGCGCAGGCGGUUUCUUAAGUCUGAUGUGAAAGCCCCCGGCUCAACCGGGGAGGGUCAUUGGAAACUGGGAGACUUGAGUGCAGAAGAGGAGAUUGGAAUUCCAUGUGUAGCGGUGAAAUGCGUAGAUAUAUGGAGGAAAACCAGUGGCGAAGGCGGCUCUCUGGUCUGUAACUGACGCUGAGGCUCGAAAGCGUGGGGAGCAAACAGG